rnacentral:rRNA from 1 species
CGGAUUUCUUCGGAUUGAAGCAAUUGUGACUGAGCGGCGGACGGGUGAGUAACGCGUGGGUAACCUGCCUCAUACAGGGGGAUAACAGUUGGAAACGGCUGCUAAUACCGCAUAAGCGCACAGUACCGCAUGGUACCGUGUGAAAAACUCCGGUGGUAUGAGAUGGACCCGCGUCUGAUUAGGUAGUUGGUGGGGUAACGGCCUACCAAGCCGACGAUCAGUAGCCGACCUGAGAGGGUGACCGGCCACAUUGGGACUGAGACACGGCCCAAACUCCUACGGGAGGCAGCAGUGGGGAAUAUUGCACAAUGGGGGAAACCCUGAUGCAGCGACGCCGCGUGAGCGAUGAAGUAUUUCGGUAUGUAAAGCUCUAUCAGCAGGGAAGAAAAUGACGGUACCUGACUAAGAAGCCCCGGCUAACUACGUGCCAGCAGCCGCGGUAAUACGUAGGGGGCAAGCGUUAUCCGGAUUUACUGGGUGUAAAGGGAGCGUAGACGGCAUGGCAAGCCAGAUGUGAAAGCCCGGGGCUCAACCCCGGGACUGCAUUUGGAACUGUCAGGCUAGAGUGUCGGAGAGGAAAGCGGAAUUCCUAGUGUAGCGGUGAAAUGCGUAGAUAUUAGGAGGAACACCAGUGGCGAAGGCGGCUUUCUGGACGAUGACUGACGUUGAGGCUCGAAAGCGUGGGGAGCAAACA